GACUAUACUGUGAAACUGGGAAUGGCUUAUUAAAUCAGUUAUGGUUUCUUUGAUGGUACCUUGCUACUUGGAUAUCCGUAGUAAUUCUAGAGCUAAUACAUGCAGGAGUGCCCGACUUCGGAAGGGCUGUAUUUAUUAGAUAAGAAACCUUCUCGGGUUCGCCCGGUUGUGUGCUGAGUCAUAAUAACUGCUCGAAUCGCACGGCUCUACGCCGGCGAUGGUUCAUUCAAAUUUCUGCCCUAUCAGCUUUCGAUGGUAGGAUAGAGGCCUACCAUGGCGUUAACGGGUAACGGAGAAUUAGGGUUCGAUUCCGGAGAGGGAGCCUGAGAAAUGGCUACCACAUCCAAGGAAGGCAGCAGGCGCGUAAAUUGCCCGAAUCCUGACACAGGGAGGUAGUGACAAGAAAUAACAAUACAGGGCUAUUUAGUCUUGUAAUUGGAAUGAGUACAACAUACAUCCCUUCACGAGGAUCAACUGGAGGGCAAGUCUGGUGCCAGCAGCCGCGGUAAUUCCAGCUCCAGAAGCGUAUAUUAAAGUUGUUGCAGUUAAAACGCUCGUAGUCGGGUUUCGGGUCGGGCCGAGCGGUCUGCCGAUGGGUAUGCACUGUUUGGCGCGGCCUUCUUUCCGGAGACCGCGGCUACUCUUAACUGAGCGGGCGUG
rnacentral:rRNA from 1 species